rnacentral:lncRNA from 1 species
CUCUCCCCUCCCCAUCCACUCUAGUUAGAGGGAUGUGGACUAGAAUGGGAAUAAGGACGCAGACUCCAGAGCAGACUGCCUGCAUGAACUCCAGGUCCCCACCAGCCAGUUCUAAACUAAAAGUUCAGAUAUUCUGAACCAUGGAACAAACAUGAUGUGGCCUGCUGAAGUAGAAAUGUGGACUUUUGGGAUGUGAGACCGAAAUCACUCAUAGAUAAGGGUCCUUCCUAAAUCUACAGAGUGGGCAACAAACCUAAUUCACUUGUUAAAAUAAUCAUUGAGAUGGAAAUUGCAAACGUUCUGACUCUGGAGAGACAGAGGGUGACUGGCAGGCAAAGGAGAAAUCUCAGGCUUCAGUAAUGAGAAUUUUUCAUGAGUCGCCUAAUCAAGCUCAUGAGACCUGGAGAGUCUAUGAGGAAAGGGUUCAGUGAUAGAGAAAGCCGGAGAUGAUGAGGCUGGGAGAGUAAGCUUCUCUUACCAUUGUUCUCUAUUCUCCCUACUCCCAUAUUCUUCCAGUGGGACAAAGUGCCCCAAAGUAUAAGUCAGUGUGUCCCAAGGGGUCUGGAGUUUAGGUACCUGAACAUGGAAGAGGGCCUUGCUAAACUGGGUUUGACCUUUCUCUCAUCCCCAGCAAAGUUCUGAAUGCGGGUUCUGACUCUGAGCUGAAGGCAUACUUCAUGAAGUUUCCUGCUGCCCUUUCACUACACAGCUGGACUUGGAGGCAAACUUGGAGAUAAAAAUAUAGUUCCCGUGCUAUCCCUUAUAAAGAUUUAAGAGAAAGUAUAGAAAGAAAGGCAA